rnacentral:lncRNA from 1 species
GUGGUGAUCAAGUAUAUUAUUUUUCUUAAUGUCCUGACUUGUUCUGCCUUACAAUUUGAGGAGGCAGCAUUCGCUCUGAUAGGGAAGACAGAGCAGAAACUGGAGGCAGUUCCUCAUGCUACACAACACCACAUUACACUGCACCACAUUACACUACACCACAUUACACUGCACCACAUUACACUACAGCACAUUACACUGCACCACAUUACACUACACCACAUUACACUGCACCACAUUACACUGUACCACAUUACACUGCACCACAUUACACUGCACCACAUUACACUGCACCACAUUACACUACACCACAUUACACUGCACCACAUUACACUGCACCACAUUACACUACACCACAUUACACUGCACCACAUUACACUGCACCACAUUACACUACACCACAUUACACUGCACCACAUUACACAACACCACAUUACACUGCACCACAUUACACUACACAUGCCUGUAGUCAGGAAGCAGAUAGUGAACAGGAAGUGGGGACUUACAAACCUUAAGGUCCAUCCCAAGUGACACACUUCCUCUAGUAAGGCUCCACCGUAAAGGUUCCACAACACACCCCCAAACA